rnacentral:lncRNA from 1 species
UAUAAACGUUUAAUUCAUGCACUGAAAGAACCAGUGCCAGUGACUGUCGUUCAUAAAAAGACCAACAUUAGUCCGUUUACCAAAAGUGACAUCAGUUUGCCUCCCUCUCUGAUGGAAGUUCCAACUAGCAACACUUUGGACGAUUUAAUUUUAUUAUCGGUUCCUCAACUUUAUCAAAAAUACGUUCCUCAUGUAAUUCAAAUGCUAAAAUCGCAUCGAUAUGACUGGAACGAUCAGGGACAAUUAAUUAUUAACAAGUACAGAUUAAGAAUACGUAGAUGGGGAACUCCCUAUACUUACAAUGUUCUAAAAAUUGUAUUGAUUAGCCAAUCAGCGUUCGGCAUUGAUACCUAGUGAGAAAAAUUCGAACUAAAAAUGACGUCAUAUAUCACCAUCUAAACACGCCUUUAUCACGUGAUCGGUGACGUAUUUAUGACGUAAUUUCUGUAAUGCGCGGCAGUCCUGUUGUACUUGACCUUUAUUUUUAAAUUUCAUUCGAAAAUUUUACUUCAUUUCUUAAAUUUAAAACUUCAUAUAGCAUUUUUCCUUUAAAAAAUUAAAAUGUCUAUAUAACAAAAAUACAAAUUUGUUCCGAUAGUGAAUAAAUGAAUUGCAUGUUUUUAC